rnacentral:lncRNA from 1 species
AUGAUUUGAGUGGACCAAUCCAGUGGGCAGCCAUCUCACAUUUUAAAUUCAGAUUGUUGUCCCCCAUAGUUGACUUGUACAAGAUGAACAAGAACAAAGGGAAGGCAACAAGCAGACGCCUAUCAUGCUUUUUCCUUUAGCUGUUUGUGAUCUUCUUCCUAUUUAGCUCUGCCCUUUCUUUGUCAUGGAGUCUUCAGACAGUGCCUUGCUUCACCCUUCAUCUGUGUUGGUGCCUUGCCUUGACGUUUAGUCUUCGGUAGUCUUCUUUAUCACCAUGGAUAGACAGUAUGGUGGUGAGCAUCAUCGAUGAGGUGGCUUUUGGAGAGUUCAACUCAAUAAAGGGAUUGGCCAGUGGUGAGACAGAAUGGGUGUCAGUGGCUGUCAUUACACAAUGUGCAGCUCCAUCAUCAUUCAAGCAACCAGAAAAAGGGACACCACCACAAGAACUUGCUUUUGGGUUGAAUGGAGGAGAGGCAUCAGGUGAGUUCGGGCAGAACAAUGAUUUGUGGCUCUUCCUCACCGUUCCUUUUGCUGUCAUGGGGUCGGUGCCUUGGUAAUCUAACAUGGCUUACUUCUGCUAGCUCCAGACAGGGAAGAGUUCACUGAUUGUGUAGUGGAAGAACAGUUCUCCAACUGAGGCAGCUGCAGGAGAGUGCGGUUGAACAAACACCAACAAGUAAAAGCUUCAGAAAAGAAAAUGAUGGACCAUCUGUCCUCUCAGUGAUAAAUGAUAUGGUGGAUCUCAACGAUAAUUAUAUCAGUCCUACUUGAUUCAAACCUGCAUAUGCAAAAAAAAAAAAGUCUGAAGUGAUUAACUAAAGAUUCAAACACUCUGCUCGGUGAUCGAGGGAUGUUCGGAUGCUUGUUCUAUAAAUAUCAAAGUUUGAUGAAUUAACUGAAGACUCAAACACUCGAGCAAAUUUUUUAGUAACGAAAUUGAUUACCGAUGGUCAAAGCAACUUUUUCUAAAGUAUUCCAGUAAUCAAGGUGGCAAUCAUCCAAUUAGUGACUCCAAGGCUCGGCUUUUGACACCAAGAUCAUGGUAAGCAAGGAAUAAGUGCUCACCACAAUGUGGUCACUUACAGCUACACAUGAUUUCUCUGUGCUAAUUGAAUAUUAGUUCUUUAGCACACCAUUAGGUUCUAAAAAGGACAUUCAAAAGCUAAAUCUCAUGGUUGAGAAGAGAAGGAAUCAGAAACUGGUCAAUUAAACAAACACCUUGCGUACGAGCAGAUGCUUGCUCCAUUUUCAAGUGCAAGCACAGUAAAAUUACACAGGAAGCCGAACAAACAAAACAGUAUAAUUAUAGAGAUUAAUCUACAAACUGUGAAGAACAUAGAGAAUUCUAACAUCAAUAAUUCAAGGAGGAACCAGAAACUGGUCAAUUAAACAAACACCUUGCGUACGAGCAGAUGUUUGCUCCUUUUUCAAGUGCAAGCACAGCAAAAUUACACAGGAGGCAGAACAAACAAAACGAUAUAAUUAUAGAGAUUAAUCUACAAACUGUGAAGAACAUAGAGAAUUCAAACAUCAAUAAUUCAAGAAGGAACCAGAAACUGGUCAAUUAAACAAACACCUUGCGUACGAACAGAUGUUUGCUCCAUUUUCAAGUGCAAACACAGCAAAAUUACACAGGAGGCAGAACAAACAAAACGAUAUAAUUAUAGAGAUUCAUCUACAAACUGUGAAGGACAGAGAGAAUACUU